AUUGAACGCUGGCGGCAGGCCUAACACAUGCAAGUCGAACGGUAACAGGAAGCAGCUUGCUGCUUCGCUGACGAGUGGCGGACGGGUGAGUAAUGUCUGGGAAACUGCCUGAUGGAGGGGGAUAACUACUGGAAACGGUAGCUAAUACCGCAUAACGUCGCAAGCCCAAAGAGGGGGACCUUAGGGCCUCUUGCCAUCGGAUGUGCCCAGAUGGGAUUAGCUUGUAGGUGGGGUAACGGCUCACCUAGGCGACGAUCCCCAGCUGGUCUGAGAGGAUGACCAACCACACUGGAACUGGGACGCGGUCCAGGCUCCUAAGGGAGGCAGCAGUGGGGAAUGUUGGAAAAAGGGGGGAAGGCUGAAGCAGCCAUGCCGGGUGUAUGAAGAAGGGCCUCGGGUUGUAAAGUACUUUCAGCGGGGAGGAAGGGAGUAAAGUUAAUACCUUUGCUCAUUGACGUUACCCGCAGAAGAAGCACCGGCUAACUACGUG
rnacentral:rRNA from 1 species